CCCCCCGCCGUUCCCCUUCCCCCGCGCCGCGCCCCUUGAGCGAAGCCUCGGCUCUUUCCGCCCUCGCUUCGGCGCCGCUCGGCUCCUCUCCCGCCCCCCUCUCCCCUCCCUUAUCCUCCCCGAGUGCUGCGAGCACGGGACAGCGAGUUUGCCGCGGCUCGAUUCGCGCCGGCCGAGGACUCCGCGGCCGCUUCGGCUCACCUGGGCAUUCAUUCCCCAGCCCCGCACCUCGUCAUCCUUAAACUCCUCUGUGACCCGCCGGUCGCCGGGGCAGCCGCGGUCGCCCCCGCGUUGCGGCCCCCGGGGUUAGUUCCCUUGCCUCCUCCCCGGCUGGGGGAAGAAAGAGGCGGCGGCGGCGGGAGCCGGGGCAGUGGGGGAGAGGCCUGAGGUGAGAACCCGCCUGGCCCCGCUGGGAAUAUGGCGACCGGUGGCUACCGGACCAGCGGCGGCGGCAGCACCACAGACUUCCUGGAGGAGUGGAAGGCGAAGCGCGAGAAGAUGCGCGCCAAGCUGAACGCCCCCAGCUCGGCGGCCGCGGG
rnacentral:lncRNA from 1 species